rnacentral:rRNA from 1 species
AAUCUUGCACAAUGGGCGCAAGCCUGAUGCAGCCAUGCCGCGUGUAUGAAGAAGGCCUUCGGGUUGUAAAGUACUUUCAGCAGUGAGGAAGGGUGUAUAGUUAAUAGCUAUAUAUUUUGACGUUAGCUGCAGAAGAAGCACCGGCUAACUCCGUGCCAGCAGCCGCGGUAAUACGGAGGGUGCGAGCGUUAAUCGGAAUUACUGGGCGUAAAGCGCAUGCAGGUGGUUUGUUAAGUCAGAUGUGAAAGCCCGGGGCUCAACCUCGGAAUAGCAUUUGAGACUGGCGGGCUAGAGUACUGUAGAGGGGGGUAGAAUUUCAGGAGUAGCGGUGAAAUGCGUAGAUUUCUGAAGGAAUACCGGUGGCGAAGGCGGCCCUCUGGACAGAUACUGACACUCAGAUGCGAAAGCGUGGGUAGCAAACAGGAUUAGAUACCCUGGUAGUCCACGCUGUA